CCUACGGGGGCAGCAGUGGGGAAUAUUGGACAAUGGGGGCAACCCUGAUCCAGCCAUGCCGCGUGUGUGAAGAAGGCCCUCGGGUUGUAAAGCACUUUCAGUGAGGAAGAACGCCUGGUGGUUAAUACCCAUCAGGAAAGACAUCACUCACAGAAGAAGCACCGGCUAACUCCGUGCCAGCAGCCGCGGUAAUACGGAGGGUGCGAGCGUUAAUCGGAAUUACUGGGCGUAAAGCGCGCGUAGGUGGCUUGAUAAGCCGGUUGUGAAAGCCCCGGGCUCAACCUGGGAACGGCAUCCGGAACUGUCAAGCUAGAGUGCAGGAGAGGAAGGUAGAAUUCCCGGUGUAGCGGUGAAAUGCGUAGAGAUCGGGAGGAAUACCAGUGGCGAAGGCGGCCUUCUGGACUGACACUGACACUGAGGUGCGAAAGCGUGGGUAGCAAACAGGAUUAGAUACCCUGGUAGUC
rnacentral:rRNA from 1 species